rnacentral:rRNA from 1 species
GGGCUCCUUCGGGAGCACCGGCGGACUGCUCAGUAACACGUGGACAACCUACCCUCGGGUGGGGGAUAACCUCGGGAAACUGAGGCUAAUACCCCAUAGGCCUCGGAUACUGGAAGGUUCCGAGACCGAAAGCUCCGGCGCCCGAGGAUGGGUCUGCGGCCUAUCAGGUAGUUGGUGGUGUAAAGGACCACCAAGCCUACGACGGGUACGGGCCCUGAGAGGGGGAGCCCGGAGAUGGACUCUGAGACACGAGUCCAGGCCCUACGGGGCGCAGCAGGCGCGAAACCUUCGCAAUGCGCGAAAGCGCGACGAGGGGAGCCCGAGUGCCCUUCCUUUCGGGAGGGCUUUUCUGGAGCCUAAAAAGCUCCAGGAAUAAGGGCUGGGCAAGACGGGUGCCAGCCGCCGCGGUAAUACCCGCAGCUCGAGUGGUGACCAC